AUUGAACGCUGGCGGCGUGCUUAACACAUGCAAGUCGAUCGGUAACGCGGGGGCAACCCUGGCGACGAGAGGCGGACGGGUGAGGAACGCUUGGGAAUCUGCCUAUCAGCGGGGGACAACCCGGGGAAACUCGGGCUAAUACCGCAUACGCUCUACGGAGGAAAGCCGGGGACCGCAAGGCCUGGCACUGAUAGAUGAGCCCAAGUCGGAUUAGCUAGUUGGCGGGGUAACGGCCCACCAAGGCGACGAUCCGUAGCUGGUCUGAGAGGACGAUCAGCCACACUGGGACUGAGACACGGCCCAGACUCCUACGGGAGGCAGCAGUGGGGAAUAUUGGACAACGGGGGAAACCCUGAUCCAGCGACGCCGCGUGGGUGAAGAAGGCCUGCGGGUUGUAAAGCCCUUUCGGUAGGGACGAAAGCUCUCGACCUAACACGUCGGGAGGUUGACUUAACCUACAAAAGAAGCACCGGCUAACUCUGUGCCAGCAGCCGCCGUAAUAC
rnacentral:rRNA from 1 species